rnacentral:rRNA from 1 species
UACGGAGGGAGCUAGCGUUGUUCGGAAUUACUGGGCGUAAAGCGCACGUAGGCGGCGAUUCAAGUCAGAGGUGAAAGCCCGGGGCUCAACCCCGGAAUUGCCUUUAAGACUGCAUCGCUUGAAUCCGGGAGAGGUGAGUGGAAUUCCGAGUGUAGAGGUGAAAUUCGUAGAUAUUCGGAAGAACACCAGUGGCGAAGGCGGCUCACUGGACCGGUAUUGACGCUGAGGUGCGAAAGCGUGGGGAGCAAACAGG